ACUCAAAUGAAUAGACGGGGGCCCGCACAAGCAGCGGAGCGUGUGGUUUAAUUCGAGGCUACACGAAGAACCUUACCCGGGUUAGACAUCCUAGUGGUAGUGAACGGAAACGGGAACGACCCGCAAGGGAGCUAGGACAGGUGCUGCAUGGCUGUCGUCAGCUCGUGUCGUGAGAUGUUCGGUUAAGUCCGGUAACGAGCGCAACCCUCGGCAAUAGUUACAAGUGUCUAUUGCAACUGCCCGGUGAAACUGGGAGGAAGGUGGGGAUGACGUCAAGUCAGCAUGGCCUUUAUAUCCGGGGCUACACACACGCUACAAUGGACGGUACAAUCAGUUGCCAAGGCGCGAGCCGGAGCCAAUCUGCCAAAACCGUUCUCAGUUCGGAUUGCAGGCUGCAACUCGCCUGCAUGAAGUUGGAGUUGCUAGUAAACGCGCAUCAGCCAUGGCGCGUUGAAUACGUUCCCGGGCCUUGUACACACCGCCCGU
rnacentral:rRNA from 1 species